GACGAACGCUGGCGGCGUGCCUAAUACAUGCAAGUAGAACGCACAGUUUAUACCGUAGCUUGCUACACCAUAGACUGUGAGUUGCGAACGGGUGAGUAACGCGUAGGUAACCUGCCUGGUAGCGGGGGAUAACUAUUGGAAACGAUAGCUAAUACCGCAUAAUAUUAAUUAUUGCAUGAUAAUUAAUUGAAAUGUGCAAUUGCACCACUACCAGAUGGACCUGCGUUGUAUUAGCUAGUAGGUGAGGUAACGGCUCACCUAGGCGACGAUACAUAGCCGACCUGGGAGGGUGAUCGGCCACACUGGGACUGAGACACGGCCCAGAAUCCUACGGGAGGCAGCAGUAGGGAAUCUUCGGCAAUGGACGGAAGUCUGAACGAGCAACGCCGCGUGGGUGAAGAAGGUUUUCGGAUCGGAAAGCUCUGUUGUAAGAGAAGAACGGGUGUGAGAGUGGAAAGUUCACACUGUGACGGUACCUUACCAGAAAGGGACGGCUAACUACGUG
rnacentral:rRNA from 1 species